ACAGAACGUGUGGCUGAGAAAUCCUUUUGCUUCAGUUAGCAUGGGAGAGGAGAAGCCAUUUGAUUUCUUACGCACUUUAUUUGACUGCAGGUGCCAUAGGGGGCAUUGCUGCUUCACUGAUUUGCGUUCCAACAGAGGUGAUUACAUCAAAGAAGGCCAAGUAAUAGGGUAUCUGGAUCAAUUUGGUACUUCACUUCCUGUUAAGGUGAUUUUUCUUAGCCUCUUUAAUUGUGAGUAAUUCUGAAAUGUCUACUUCCUACUGACCGUUUUUCUUUUUAUCUUUUUUUUUGGGUUAAAUUUAAUUGUGGGUAAUCACUAAGCCUCACAAGUUCCACUGCAUUAGAGCUCAAGCUUCAGGUUCAACAAAAAUUGAGGGGAUUCCUGAGAAAACAGAUUCCAAUGAUGAUAACUUAGUAUUUGUUGCUGGUGCUACUGGUAGAGUUGGUUCAAGAACUGUUAGAGAGCUUAUAAAACAUGGAUUUAAAGUAAGAGCUAGAGUGAGGAGUGUUGAGAAAGCUGGUCCACUAUUCAAGGUACAGGUUCUAUCUUAUGAACAAGAUUUGGUAUCCAUUAGUGCUUGAUAUGAAAAGGAUGUGCAUUAAGAUAUAGAACAUAUGCAAAGUGUUGAGCAAAUGAAGCUUGAUGAUGGAACAAGUGGAGGGAAGAGUACUGGUUACUUCAUUGGGAACAAAUAAAUUUGGUUUACCUGCAGCUAUUCUCAAAAGACACUUUAUUUGGGGGUCAAGUAUCAAACCUUCAGGUGGCAGAACUUAUGGCAGUCGUGGCCAAGAACCCUGAUCUUGCAUAUUGUAAAAUAGUGGAGGUAGUAGCAGAGACAACUGCACCGCUGACUCCCACGGAGGAGCUUCUUGCAAAGAUAUCAUCUCAAAGACCUUACAUUUCUUCACCAAAGAAAUCGGAUGCUACAGCCAUCAGUGAUUCGGCUCCCUCGAAACCUGCCAUUGCCCACAGCUACUGAGAAGGAAACUGCACAACCAAAAUCGGUUGCAAACCAGUCACUUUUGACCUUUUUCAAUUGCAUUAAGAGAUAUAAAGCAACACGACAUUACUCAAAGCAUGCGCGGGAUACUAGUUGAUUGGCUUGUAGAGAUUUGCAUAAUGUAAUUUUUCUCAUUUAAUACAAUAUUAUGAAUUAUAGCUGAUAAAUUUAGUACGGUUGGACAAUACACUGAUGA